rnacentral:lncRNA from 1 species
AGGUGUCGGCACUACAACAACAAUCCGCGCUCUGCCCAUGACAUCAAACCUUAACCAAUUGGCAUCCAUAAUAGAAAAUCAGCCUAAGGCAUUCAGCCCUUGCUCCCUGAGAGCAUUCGACCAAAGCAAAAAUUAACACCUGCCAGCCCCUUGACUAGGCUUUCAACUACUUACCCUAAGGAGUAGAGGUUUCCAAGGCACUUAAUUCGCAGGAGGGGUAUGCGCCUCACGAUCCUCACCUUAAUAGAACCAAAAACGAUUAGACCAUCACUAUUCAGCCAACAACAACCAACAAACCCCUCAAAUAAAACCGGAAACAAGCUUUUUUUAAAACAAAUGGAUUACACUUACGCAAAAUUAUGAUAUUAUACUGAAACUCCAAAUCACACACAACCAGUAACGAGACCAGAGGGUUAGCUACGGCACUAGGAAGGAUCAAAGUCUGGACGGCGGCAACACAGUAGGUAGGGAUUGCAAAAGAUGAAAUCAAGAGGGUGUUAACGUGAAAUUAUGGAAACAAAUGAGUAAAAAGAAAGAAGAUAAAGAAAGGAGGGAAAAAUAGAGAGAAUUCAACAAAAGAGGAGGUUACAGCAACAAAAGUGGAAAACAAAGAAAAGUGGGGAAAUGGGGGAGAGGGGGGCGACACUAGGAGGAUUUUUAGGAGAUAAGUCCUCAAAAUUUUAAAAAAUAAACUAAUUAAAUCCUACCUAAUCUGAUUCCGUUUUUAUCUCAAUCAGGUUGCCUAGAGUUUGAGUUUGACCAACAUGGGUGGCACAGCAGGGAAGAAAUAAUAAUAAUAAACAAUCAUUUCACUUAAGCACAAACGAGAUUUGAAUUUGAGUUGCAGAAGGAAAAGGAGAAUGCUUAACCAUGGGGCUGUUGCCCACACUUGUUAAUAAACUUAUGAAAACUAGAGAUAAUCUAAGCGUCACAAGCUAGAUAUUGGGAGAAAAAUAAUAAAAAAAAUUACGGGAAAGAAGUCGAAC